rnacentral:rRNA from 1 species
AUUGAACGCUAGCGGGAUGCCUUACACAUGCAAGUCGAACGGAGUGGCGAACGGGUGAGUAAUUUAUCGGAACGUGCCCAGUAGCGGGGGAUAACUACGCGAAAGCGUCGCUAAUACCGCAUACUAUUUGAGCGGCCUAUAUCUGAUUAGCUAGUUGGUGUGGUAACGGCUCACCAAGGCGACGAUCCUUAGCUGGUUUGAGUGGACGACCAGCCACACUGGGACUGAGACACGGCCCAGACUCCUACGGGAGGCAGCAGUGGGGAAUUUUGGACAAUGGGGGAAACCCUGAUCCAGCCAUCCCGCGUGUACGAUGAAGGCCUUCGGGUUGUAAAGCACUUUCAGCGGGGAGGCGUUACCCGCAGAAGAAGCACCGGCUAACCCCGUGCCAGCAGCCGCGGUAAUAC